rnacentral:lncRNA from 1 species
GGGAAGGUGCCAGCGCGGGGGUUUGCACGGCGGGGGGGCGGUGCUCUCUAGGGGCCAGUUUCUCUCGGGCGUCUCCGUGAAGCCUCCGUGAAGAGGCAAACACGAGGGGCUACGUUUACGGGAAGCUUGAAGUCAUAAGGGUGUUCUAGUGGUGAGAGAGUUUGUUUUCUCUAGAAACGCGUUGAAAAAAAAAUCAGCUUACUUUAUGUAAUUCAUCCGAGUAACACUUCCUGCCUCUCCGCCCCGGAGUUGUUCGCCGAAAAGUAGUAUGUAAACAAGAAGUGGACUCUUUUUUUUCCACCCCUGUGUGCCUUGAGCUAGUUUUGCGAGAUGAACACUGUAAACGAAGAAGUUAAGCCAGCAGAUGCUAAACCGGAAUCUGAAAAAUUAUUUCAUUAUUGUGAAUUUAUCCUUUCAGGUUUUUAAAGUUCCACGUAUGAGUUCUAUAAGGCCUCAGUGGCACUAUCAUGGUGCAAAGCAUAGAAAGCAUGGACUUGGAGUAGCAAAAACCUAUUCAAAGUCAACUCAGUUGUUGGGGUGUAUCUCUUUUCCCAUAAACUGA